rnacentral:rRNA from 1 species
GACGAACGCUGGCGGCGUGCUUAACACAUGCAAGUCGAACGCUGAAGCCCUGGCUUUUGUUGGGUUGGAUGAGUGGCGAACGGGUGAGUAACACGUGAGUAACCUGCCCUCUUCUUUGGGAUAACGCCCGGAAACGGGUGCUAAUACUGGAUAUUCACUGAUCUUCGCAUGGGGGUUGGUGGAAAGGUUUGUUCUGGUGGGGGAUGGGCUCGCGGCCUAUCAGCUUGUUGGUGGGGUGAUGGCCUACCAAGGCUUUGACGGGUAGCCGGCCUGAGAGGGUGACCGGUCACAUUGGGACUGGGAUACGGCCCAGACUCCUACGGGAGGCAGCAGUGGGGAAUAGUGCACAAUGGGCGAAAGCCGGAUGCAGCGACGCCGCGUGAGGGAUGGAGGCCUGCGGGGUGUAAACCUCUUUCGCUCAUGGUCAAGCCGCAACUGUGGGUUGUGGUGAGGGUAGUGGGUAAAGAAGCGCCGGCUAACUACGUG